CCUUCACUGAUGAGUAGCUUCUGACUUUCGUUCUUCUGAGUUUGUCGAGUGAAGCCAGAUGCUGUUCCUGAGAUGG
rnacentral:snoRNA from 14 species